AUUGAACGCUGGCGGAAUGCUUUACACAUGCAAGUCGAACGGUAGAGGGGGCAACCCCUUGAGAGUGGCGAACGGGUGAGUAAUAUAUCGGAACGUGCCCAGUCGUGGGGAUAACGUAGCGAAAGUUACGCUAAUACCGCAUACGAUCUAAGGAUGAAAGCGGGGGAUCGCAAGACCUCGCGCGAUUGGAGCGGCCGAUAUCAGAUUAGGUAGUUGGUGAGGUAAAGGCUCACCAAGCCAACGAUCUGUAGCUGGUCUGAGAGGACAACCAGCCACACUGGAACUGAGACACGGUCCAGACUCCUACGGGAGGCAGCAGUGGGGAAUUUUGGACAAUGGACGCAAGUCUGAUCCAGCCAUUCCGCGUGCAGGAUGAAGGCCCUCGGGUUGUAAACUGCUUUUGUACGGAACGAAAGGGUUUCUAUUAAUACUAGGAGCUCAUGACGGUACCGUAAGAAUAAGCACCGGCUAACUACGUGCCAGCAGCCGCGGU
rnacentral:rRNA from 1 species